CCUACGGGAGGCAGCAGUGAGGAAUAUUGGUCAAUGGGCGCGAGCCUGAACCAGCCAAGCCGCGUGAAGGAAGAAUGCCCUACGUAUUGUAAACUUCUUUUGUAGGGGAAUAAAGUGAGGCACUAGUCCCUGGUUGACUGUACAUGAAGAAUAAGGAUCGGCUAACUCCGUGCCAGCAGCCGCGGUAAUACGGAGGAUCCGAGCGUUAUCCGGGUUUAUUGGGUUUAACGGGAGCGCAGAGGGGUUGUUAAGUCAGUUGUGAAAGUUUGGGGCUCAACCGUGACAUAGCAAUUGAUACUGGCGGGCUGGAGUUCAGGUGAGGUAGGCGGAAUGCGUGGUGUAGCGGUGAAAUGAUUAGAUAUCACGAAGAACUCCGAUUGCGAAGGCAGCUUACUAAACUGCCACUGACGUUGAGGCACGAAAGCGUGGGUAUCGAACAGGAUUAGAUACCCUUGUAGUC
rnacentral:rRNA from 1 species